AUACGGAGGGUGCAAGCGUUAAUCGGAAUUACUGGGCGUAAAGCGCGCGUAGGCGGUUAGAUAAGUCGGAUGUGAAAUCCCUGGGCUCAACCUGGGAACUGCAUUCGAUACUGUCUAACUAGAGUAUGGUAGAGGGAAGUGGAAUUCCGGGUGUAGCGGUGAAAUGCGUAGAUAUCCGGAGGAACAUCAGUGGCGAAGGCGACUUCCUGGACCAAUACUGACGCUGAGGUGCGAAAGCGUGGGGAGCAAACAGGAUUAGAAACCCUUGUAGUCC
rnacentral:rRNA from 1 species